CUUUCUCGCAGACCCCAUUUUGCUAAAAUGAAAGGACCUCUCUGUCUCUCACAUUUUUCUCUCCUUUCCUCAAUUUAGCUCUGCUCUCUCUAGAAAGUCUGAAAAUGCUUUUACUCUCUCCAUGUCAAAGCAAGUCCUUCUUCCUCCCUUUGCAGUUUCCUCGCAGAUUGAUGCAUCCGUAGCCUUCCAUAACCCAACAACAACGCACCUCCGUGAGUACCCCGCCGUGAUGGAAAAUCGGAAAAAACGGAAACCCAAAGUGUGGAGAGCCCUAAUGGUUUCAAAUCCGAGACA